AUCUCCGCCGCCGCCGCUCACCUCGCCGGCGUACCCUCCGCGGCCGCCUCGUCUGCCCCAACUCCGGCACUUCAUCCCCUCCGAGUCUUCCGCUCCCAUCUUCCCCCAUUCCUCCCCCACUCGCCCCACCCACCAUCAGGUCGACCGCCACUGCAGAAUCGCUGAUGGGAGAUGCGCACGGCGCCGCCCAGGAGCCAUGGCAUCUCGCGCCCGGCUUGUUCGCUGGUGCGGUGCGCGCGGUGCCGCCGAACUCGCCUGUCCGCAUCACCCUUACGGCCGAGGCGGUUUGGUCCGUCCUCUUCACGCCGGCGAGGGGUACGGUACCGGCCACGAGGACGUGCCGGCGGCCGCGACGCGAGCCAUGGAGGUCCUUCCUCCGUGGCACGCCGCGAGGAUGGAGUUUGCCUGCAGCAUCACUGCCCAUGGAGUAGAUGCAGUUGUAGUUGACGCCCAGAACAGGACUUCUCUGAACCUGUCCAAUUCUGCUACGUAUGCACUACUAGGCAAGUUGGUGACUCUGGUUUCUCAUUAUCAUCAUCCGCUGUACCACGGCUCGGAUGGGACUACAGAACGCCUCUGGUCAGCGCUGCCGCCACUAACAUCUUGAUGCUAGUCAUCACUUGUCCCGCUGGUUAUUCCGGGAAUGCAUGCACCGAUGCCAGCUCUGGGACGGCUGAGGUGCGGGAUGUCAUGGCGGCUUGCGGGAUGCAGGAGGACGAGUGGGUGCCGUCUGCCUAGGUUGAAGCAAGUCUCGUGGCAAGUUGGUGACUCUGGAUUCUCCUUAUCAUCAUCCGGUGUACCAUGGCUCCGUUGGGCCUACAGAACACCUCUGGUCCGCCGCCGCCACCAAAUUCAUGCUGCUAGUUGUUGCGUCUCCCGCUUGAUAUUCCGGGAAUGCAUAUGCGGAGGCCAAAUCGGGGCCAACUGAGGCCAGUGAUUUCAUUCACACCCCGGACUACUCAUACCAACAUCAAAUUCUCGUCAUCCUGCUCCAAAGCCGUCGGAAGCGUCAAGGAGAUGGGUCUUAUUCUUCCUUGUGAUGGCGUUGAUGUGGUAGGUGCUGGACUUGUUGUUCCAAUCGCUGAGGGCAUUCUACAGCUUGGUGCAUGCCGAAGAAUUGUCCCGGCUGGUCUAAAAUCCUGAAGCACCUAAUUUUUUCGAGCAAUAUAAGGGAGGAAAACACAGAGGCGGGCGGCUGGAGCUCGUCUUUCUUCAUUUCAACCUCCGUUUGCAGGUUGAAGAGCUUCACCUCGUCCUGGUCCUUGCCAUCUCACUGUGCGACCAUGACCCCGGUUGCGAUCAACUCCCUGUGGUGGUGGCUCCAGGUCAUCAUCGAUUGUUGCUCUAGCUUUGUUUGGGGUAAGCAAUUUGAAGUAGUGCCUACUUUCAUUGGUAAACAGUGCACUGUAGAAGCAGUAGUACCUGGACAGGUUUUAAAGGAGAUGUUUCUUGAUGCGUGCCACCCGGUGCUAACAAGAAAGCUUGUUGGUGUCUAGGUUGAGGAUUGUUUGUUGGAGUGUCUGCCAAAGCAUCAGGCAUGGAGCUGAGGCGCGAUAUCACUGACGGAGCAUUGGCGGAUCUAGCGGUCUUCCCAAAACAACGUGGUCUGUCCGAGAGGGCAUGUUUCAAUACCAGGAAUUGGAGUUCAAGGCUGCUCCAGACUCGGUUCCUAUCGGUGCGGCUGUACCAGAGCCAGCGAAGGCAGAGGGAAAUGCCGGCUUCUCUCUUCCCAAGGCCACUGCUGCCUGUCUUAAUCUAGGUGGCUCUACCAUAUGAAGGUAUUUGGCGAGCUGAGCCUUCUUUGGCCAGUGGUAGCUGGACGUGAUGCUGGAUCUGUCAAAUGCCAUGGCGCUCGCGAAGGGGAGAAGUGGAGUCGGCAUGUAUGCAGCGACAGUGAAGGACGCAUAGGUGGCCAGGAGGGAACCUUGGUUGCGGAAAGUAUAAUGCUUGUUCUGGAUAUGAGAACGGAUAGUGCUUCUCUGAUAUGGGCAGGUUGCAUGUGUCAAGUAGCUAAUAUAUAUGUUGGCAUAAUUUAGCUUGGUUAGUGAUUGAGUCAGUUUGGUUCCCGUGGCUGCUAGCAAGUCUGGCCGUAUAAUUGCAAUGUAACUUUCUCAGCUUUGCUCUGGUCUAAUAAUAUGCACUCUUUUUUU